CCAUCGCGCGCACGCCAUCGUGGACCGAACGAUUCUUUUACCACGGUGCUUUUUCGUCCGCUGGCGGUCGGUACAUCGUUAAUCCCUUCUCUACCUGAGCUUUUCAUUUGAUGUUGUAUGACAGGUGGGGCUGGUUUGGUCAUGGGGCCAAGAAACGAGGUGGUUUUUCGAUGCAUUUGGGUGCGCGUGUUUCUACCGAGACACGGAUUAACCUAGACGCGAUUCCUCCGCGGUGAAAAAGGCCACCCAUCUCCUCCCGAUUCCCAGCCGCCGCCGCCGCCGCAUCCUCUCUCCUCCCCUGACGUCUCCUUUUUCCCCUCCUCUCCUCGCAACGGCCUCCUCCUUCCUGCACCGCCUCUUCCUCUCUUCCUUGCUGAUGGCGCCACCCGCCGGUCGAUGCCUCCUGUCUUGCCCUUUCCAUGGGGAGGUGGAGAUGGGAAGAUGGCGUUGGAGGAGGAAAACGAGAUCCAGGCAGUGGAAAGAUGGCGUUGGAGGAGGGAGCACGGGUGGGCGCCGCAGCUGAAGCACGGGUGGCCUGGUUGUGGCGGAGCAUGGCGGGAUUCCGGGCGGCGUCGUGGUCGUGGUCAAGAGCAGAAGCACGGGUGGCCGCCGUAGCUGAGCUUCUAUGUAACAUAGUUCCGAUGAAUCCUCUGCCGCAUCUGGCCUCUGCAGAUUCGUUUUUGUAUCUACCUAUAAGGCGUUCGAUGAAAAUCCAAGCUGCUGCAGUGGCAGAUUACGCCGUCCUCUUGCAUGCUGAGCCAUGUUGGGCUCUCCUGUUCUUUUUUGUUGGCUUGACGUACGCACUGGCAACCUCUUAUGUGAGGGAUUCAGCAUGCCUCUAUUUGAGAGAAAAGAUAUGGAGAAGCGGAUUUUCAGGUAUGCUCUAUGGUUUGGAGCAAUGCCACUUUGAUUUGGUUCACAUUUUCUUUAUAGGUUGAUGUUAUCUGUUGAGUAUAUGAGGUUGCCGCUGCUCCAUGUUAAGUACCAGCCAGAACUGCCAUUAUAUAUUUAUUAAGCUAGGAGGCUGCACCGGUCAUGAAUUUAAAUAGGCUUGCUACCACUUUAUUUUGGUCAACAUUUUUGGCCCUGAACAUGUUAUGUUUCGAUUUAUGAGGUUAAAGCAUACUACUGCUUGCAUAAACAGCAACCUGUUGAAAGUAUUGUUGGGUCACUUGUAGGCUUCUAACUAUUUUGAUUUUAUGAUAUACAACACUUUCAGAUCAGUAAAUACAAUGACCUCCCUUUUACAUUAAACAAUCGUGAUUGUUCUCGUACCAUUUGGUAUUUUCACCAAGUUCAGGGAAAGAAAAGUUUCCCUAGACAGGUGGCGGCGGCGGUCAAGACAAGAGCGGCGUUGUGAGCGACGGCCCUUGAUCGUCUUCCUUGUGGAAUCAGGUACACGUCGUCCAUCGUGGCCCAUCGUGGGUGUUGGCAGGCGACCGGAGGCGGCUACAGCAGGCCAGUGUCCGUGAUCAUGACUGACACCGGGAAGGCUGCCGGUCUACAGUUGUGCACUCGAUUCAAAUGAUUAUUCUCCGUUCUUUGCCUCAGAACUACAUAUGAGAGGUACAAAGGAUUGGCCAAGAUACUCAAUUAAGCUAUUCGAUUUGAGAUAAUGGAUGCAUUUUGAUGGAUCACAACAUGCUCUAUGGUGUUGUGGAUCACCUGGAUAUCUUCUGAUAUUCAUCUUUCCAUGCUGCAACAAGGAGGGUGUAUGAGCUUAGAGAGUUCUUAGUGUCCUUUCUCGUGACUGUUCAAAUAAGAAUCUGAUUAUUAGGCAUAGAAGUGAGAAAACUUCCACGAUGAAGUGACUGCUUGCUUCACAUGCACAUGGCUUGCCUGAUAUAAUCACGACCUUCGCGUGUGAUCUGGAGUGGCCUGAGAUAGUUCAGGGUCUUGAACAUGGGCAAAAAGCAGUCGACAGGACUGAUAUUACCGUACGAGUGCAUCAGAUGAAGCUUCUUGAUUACCUGCAGAAAAUCAGCACCGGGCAGGUGUUCGGGACUGUCGUUGCUGAACUUUCUGUUCUCCAGUUGUCCACACUGUGGAGUUCCAAAAGAGGGGUCUGCCCCAUGCACGUAUCCUUGUUUGGCAGCAGAAGAACAGUGCCCAGGGAUCUAAACUGACUGAUGUUGACGAUGGUACUGCUGCCACUGCACUUGCUAAGACCAUGGAAACUGCACUUGCUCAGCCACCCAGACUUAAAAUGGGUGCUGCUGCUACUACAAAGACCGGUUCAUAAAAAAAAUAGUAGUUGAUCCAUGCUUGGGGAUAAGCAUGAGUGUGUGGUACGUCUAUUCCAACGACCUAUAGUUCUUCCACAGAUUUGUUCAGGCCUUUCUUUUGGUUAUUUUCCACUUACCUGUGUUGUCUUUUAUAUGAUAUAUAGAUACCCAGAAAUGCUGUCAGGUGAUUCUAGAAUAUUGUUCACUUCCGCUUCGGUAGACCCCCUUCAACACAAGGACGGCUAAGAUUGUCCCAUACCCCUUCAUAACAAAGGGCACGAUGGGCAAAAAUCAAAAAAGAGGCCGCCCACCUGCUGUCCCGCUCGUAACGUGUACGUAUUCGUAUACGCUUUUGAUUUCUUUUCCGGCCGGGACGCCCCACCAGUGCGCCAACCCCCACGCCCACGUCCUCCUACGCUAAUUACGCGCGGAUAGGCAUGCAUGCAUGCUAGGCGCGGUUACGGGCCCCGUUGCCGAUUGACGCGCUGCACCCCCGCUUCCGCCUUGCCUGCCGCGCCGCCCGCUUUCGCCUGCUUUUGCCUGGGCCUGCGACGCUGCUCAGCUGCUGCUUCGCCUUGCUUCGGCCGCCCUCGCUUCCGCCUCGGCCUUGGCGCCUGCUUCCGCCUCGGCCUGCGCCGCUGCUCAGCUGCCCCCUUGCCUCGCGUCGGCCGCCCCGGCUGAGGCGCUGCCGCUGUCCCCUGAUGCCGCAUGCCGCGCUGCACGCCUACCGCCUGCUGCGUGCCCCGACGCCUGUCGUUGGCCGCGCCCGCCCCGACGAGUCUCUCUCUCCCAUAAAACCGCCCUGACCCGCACUCGCCUCACAGGAACCGCCCCCAACCCCGCCUCUCCUCUUAGAAACCGUCCCCGACCCCGCGAUCUUCGAUCGGUCUUCGGCGCCGUGGCUCUCUCCGGCGCGAUGCCUCGUGGACGCGGAUGCUUCGGCCGGCGUUGGUUCGGCUGGGGAGGCGGCAGUGGAGGCGCAGGGAGCAGUCGCCGGGCGGGAGGCGGCGGCAGUGGCGGUGGACGCGUCGGCAGCGGUCGUGGACGUGGCGCCGCCCCGGGCGGUCUAUGGCCCUCUAGCCUCAUCGGGCCACAGACCGUGGAUAUCUACCGGCACGGCAUCCCCGUGCCGCCGUCGUGUCGCCUAGCACACGGCUGGCACGUGACGAGCGACGGCUAUGCCACGCCUGGGCCUGCAUAACCCGGUCCAUGGAACCCCGAAGGUCACCUCAACUUUUGGCAAGGCUGCGACUUCGACACCGUCGUCCACUUCUACAAGUCUCGGGGCAUUCGAGCGGACGCUCCAAACGCGCCCCUCGCGCCCCCCGCUGCCCCGGUUGUGCAGGCCCGUGCCGGUCGGCGCGCUCGCGCAGGCGCGCCGGCCGCUCCGGCCGCUCCAGCGGUCGCCCCUGAGUUUCACAUCCCGCCGGAACUGGCGGCGAUACAAGAGGAGGGUGACCCGUUGAAGUCGCCGGGUUUGAUCCACGUCGGAGACCGGUUGGAUGCCGCCGGAGGAUGUUGUUGACCCGAGGGACCCGGCAGACGAGCCGGGAUACUGGCAGGCGAUCAGGGAGUCGACCGAUACACUAGCGCAUCAGUCGUCUACCGCGGAAGAAUUUUUCGGAUACUUGGGCAGUUCCGAUGACUCGGACGGUGGUGAAGAUGGCGGGCAGACGGUAGUGGUUGAUCUUCUGAGUAGCAAGGAGUAGUAGUUAGAUUUGUUUUAGUGUUAAUCUUUUUUCAUGUAAAAUUUCGUUUGAAUGUAAAAUAUCCUAAAUAUGAACGAAAUUAUGUUGCUUUAACGAGUAAUGGAAUGGUUGUAUAAUGUAUCAGUUAUUAAUAUUGUUUUUGUUAUUAAUGGGAUAUUUCCAUUGAUAUUGUAAAAAGGUGAAGUAAACACAUAAAAUACCGGCAAAAAAUUUAAGCAACAUAAAGAAAACACCCAACCAUCAAUGCUGACCCCAUAGUAGCUCACAGAAGCUACCCAAAUCAAGCCCGAAGGUGACUCACGCGGCUGAUUGAGCCCACUAACGGGCCUAGAAACGGGGUCCAACGGGACACUGAGGAGUUAGAUUAGAGGAGUUCGAAAUGGGGGGCGGAGGCAGCUAUUUAAGUCGCUCCUCGCGCCACCCCGCUUCCGAGGUGGGACUAAAUAUGGCGUUGCAACUCGCCCCUCAGUGCACGCGGCCGCCGCAGGGCUCAAGAGGCUGUUUUCUGCGCUGUCAUCGGUCGACCCAGUUCGGCCCAUAGAGGCAAGGCGGCACUCGCCCCCUCCCACGGCCCACGCCCCCCUCCCCUCGCCCGCGCGGGGCAAAUUUUUUGUGUGGGCGUGUUGAAGGCGUGCAUUGGGCGGGGAGAUCGAGGAGGAUGCGGUGGGGUGGGUCAAAGUCGGUGGGUGCGGGGUUGCGUGGUGGCGGGGUCCUAGGGAGGCGCUGGUUGGCCAGUUGGGAUCCGCGGUAGGUGGGAUUCGGUGGGUCCGUGGCGGCGGGAUCCGAGGGAGGCGCUGGUUGGCUGGGGUACGAGGUAGGUGCGAUUCUGUGGAUUGGAUCUGCUGUCAUGCGGGGGUUUGUGGCGGCGUGUAUAUGAAAAACAUGCAUGAGACAAUAACACGGGAAAAAAUGGCAUGAGACAAUAACAUGGACGGGUGUGUUUUUUCACCACGUCGGUCAACCCAGGUAGUAUAACACAUACAAUGGCAUCAUCAUCAUGAAACGACAACAAACAAAAUAAACAGAAUUUUGAAAUUGCGGACUAAUGCACCAAAGUUUGUUGCUCGUUGCCCUAGGGGUAUGUGGAUGCUGUCGACGGUGAUGCCAACAUGCGGAAAAAGUUUCGUGCCAUUUGGCGGAGUUAAAAAAAAGUAGUCGGGAACCCUCCUCCGGUAGACCGAAAAGAAGCUCGUUGCACUGGCGGUACGUGAUCGCAUGCAUGCAAUUGCACCAAAGUGGGCGGACAUGCGGGCACGGUCUAUGUAGGGCCCCACGCAAGGUUGGAACGAAAACGGACACAAAACGAACGUUGCGUCACGCCCGACCAGUGUUUUACGGCAUUAACACGGGGAAAAUCCUAGGAAAUGCAUCGAGCGUCGGAAAAAUAUGCAAACUGGCGUGGGUGCUGUCGAGGGUGAUGCCAACGUGCGGAAAAAGUUUCGUGCUAUUUGGCGGAGUGAAAAAAAAUAGUCGGGAACCCCCCUCCGGUAGACCCUAAAGAAGCUCGUUGCCAUUAAGGUUUAUUUUGUGUUUUUUUAUUAUGUUAAGAAACUAUGUAUGAUAUAAUUAAGUUUGAAUGAAGUUUGUUUGUUUGACUAUUAUGAGUUGUUGAAAUAUUUGGGUGAAAAAAUAAAGAAAUUCCAGGUUUAAGAAUGCUUUUGCCGGGAAAACCAUAGAAAAAGCAUUGGCUGCCAAAAAGUAGCAAAAAUUGUCGUGCGUGCUCCCGAUGUAACAAAAACGGACACAAAACAAACGUCGCGUCACGUCCGGGCAAUGUUUUAGGGCAUUUUCACCGGGAAAAUCCUAGGAAAUGCAUCGAGCAUCGGAAAAAUAUGCAAAUUGGCGUGGGUGCUGUCGAUGAUGAUGCCAACGUGUGGAAAAAGUCUCAUGCCAUUCGACGAAGUAAAAUAAAAAUCGUAGUUGGGAACCGCCCCUCUGGUAGACCGAAACCGGGCUUGUUGCACAAGGUCCACGUGAUCGCAUGCAUGCAAUUGCAUCAAAGUGUGCAUACAUGUGGGCACGCCUACGUAGGGGCCCACGCAAGGUUCGAACGAAAACGGACACCAAACGAACGUCGCGUCAUGUUUGGGCAGUGUUUUAGGGCAUUUUCAUCGGGAAAAUCCUAGAAAAUGCAUCGAACGUCAGAAAAAUAUGCAAAUCGGCGUGGGUGCUGUCGACAGUGAUGCCAACGCGUGAAAAAAGUCUCGUGCCAUUCGGCGGAGUAAAAUAAAAAUCGUAGUUGGGAACCGCAUCACCGGUACACCGAAACCGGGCUCGUUGCACAAGGUCCACGUGAUUGCAUGCAUGCAAUUGCACCAAAGUGUGCGUACAUGUGGGCACGGCCUACGUAGGGGCCCACGCAAGGUUGGAACGAAAACGGACACCAAACGAACGUUGCGUCACGUCCGGGCAGUGUUUUAGGGCAUUUUCACCGGGAAAAUCCUAGGAAAUGCAUCGAGCGUCGGAAAAAUAUGCAAAUCGGCGUGAGUGCUGUCGACGGUGAUGCCAACGUGUGGAAAAAGUCACGUGCCAUUCGGCAGAGUAAAAUAAAAAUCGUAGUUGGGAACCGCCCCUCCGAUAGAGUGAAACCGGGCUCGUUGCACAAGGUCCACGUGAUCGCAUGCAUGCAAUUGCACCAAAGUGUGCGUACAUGUGGGCACGGCCUACGUACGGGCCCCACGCAAGGUUGGAACAAAAACGGACACAAAACGAACGUUGCGUCACGUCCGGGCAGUGUUUUAGGGCAUUUUCACCGGGAAAAUCCUAGGAAAUGCAUCGAGCGUCGGAAAAAUAUGCAAAUCGGCGUGGGUGCUGUCGCCGGUGAUGCGAACGUGUGGAAAAAGUCUCGUGCCAUUCGGCGGAGUAAAAUAAAAAUCGUAGUUGGGAACCACCUCUUCGGUAGACCGAAAUCGGGCUCGUUGCACAAGGUCCACGUGAUCGCAUGCAUGAAAUUGCACCAAAGUGUGUGUACAUGUGGGCACGACCUACGUAGGGGCCCACGCAAGGUUUGAACGAAAACGGACACCAAACGAACGUCGCGUCACGUCCGGGCAGUGUUUUAGGGCAUUUUCACCGGGAAAAUCCUAAGAAAUACAUCGAGCGUCGGAAAAAUAUGCAAAUCGGCGUGGGUGCUGUCGACGGUGAUGCCAACGUGUGGAAAAAGUAUCGUGCCAUUCGGCGGAGUAAAAUAAAAAUCGUAGUUGGGAACCGCCCCUCCGGUAGAUCGAAACUGGGCUCGUUGCACAAGGUCCACGUGAUCGCACGCAUGCAAUUGCACCAAAGUGUGCGUACAUGUGGGCAUGGCCUACGUAGGGGCCCACGCCAGGUUGGAACGAAAAUGGAGACCAAACGAAUGUUGCGUCACGUCCGGGCAGUGUUUUAGGGCAUUUUCACCGGGAAAAUCCUAGGAAAUGCAUCGAGCGUCGGAAAAAUAUGCAAAUCGGCGUGGGUGCUGCCGACGGUGAUGCCAACGUAUGGAAAAAGUCUUGUGCCAUUUGGCGGAGUAAAAAAAGUACUUAUCAAUCAAUAUAACUAAUGACUGCGAAAAAAAACUAAUGAAUGUGUUUGUAGAAAAAAAUUUAGUGGAUAGGCCCCGCGUAUACAUGCAUAUCCAUCGGGAGUCAAAGCCCAAGUGAACGCCGCCUCCACGAUCGCCAGUACACGCCACCAAACCCUAGCCAUCUGCGUAUGCCUCCCCCGACGCCAUCUACGCCCGCGACACCCCCGACGCCACCUCACGCCGACGCCGCGACGGCCCCGACGCCAUCUGCGAACACCUCCCUCGACGCCAUCUACGCCCGCGACUCCCCCGACGCCACCUCACGCCGACGCCCCCGACGCCCGCCCUGAUCCCAUGGCACGAGAAGAUGAGGCUAAGAAGCGUGACACGUACGACACGUCAUACGGCCGUGGUAAUGGGACGAUUGAUGAUGUGAUAAGUGAAAAGUACAGGCAGACAUUAAUUGCUCAACAAGGAAGAAAGGGGGAGGAAGAAUUAGAGCAAGAAGAUCGUGCCCAAAAAAAGAAAGAGAAUAGAGAUGAGGCGUCAUCGAGCAUGGAUACUACAUCAAAGAUAUGCAAAAAGAAAUUAAACUUCUCCCUGGAAAAUGUGCUGAGAUAGUAGUGGAGAAGCUGGAGAAGAAAGGUCUUGUCUUCAAGCCAAACAAAGGGUCUGAUGAUGACAUUGAGUUUGUGUAGCAUAGUGAAGACUGGGUAGGGAAGUAUGGUCCAUCAAAAUAUUGGCCAGAUGUAGAAUCAAUUCCUGGAAAAGAAGAUAUGGACAACAGGGUGGACGCAUCCUUCACCACUAGGAACGGGAACAAAUUGGCGCAUGAGAAAGGUGUGCAUCACAACACACCUGGUAGAAGAGAUGAAGGCGACCCCUUCGUUAUUGAGGACAAUGGUAAUUCACUCAACCCAUCUCUUGCGACGAUAGACACGAAGGACUUUUCAACUAUUAAUUCAACCCCCAAGAAUAUUAGUGAAGUGUCAGACGGGUCUAGCACCGAUAAAUCUGAGGAGAUUAUUAUGGAUAGUUUGAACACCCGUAUUAAAAAUGCGAAAGAAAAUGGCACUCAGGAGAAUGAUGGGAAGGAAAAUGAUGGGAAGGAGAAUGAUGGGAAACGCAAAAGGAAACAGUCAAAAUACUGUCUUUCACCUUACCAGCAGAACGGUGGACGUAAACGUGCAAAGAAAAAGCUGCUAUGAUUAGUACUGAUUACAUUAAUGAGGAUCACAUAGAGGCUGCGAAGGUUUAUAUCCAGACACUGGCAGAGUUGGAGAAGCUUUGCAGAAAAAUUGUUGUGCACAUGACGGGAAUUGGUGGGGAAACAUGUACACCUGAUAUGCUUCAAGCCAUCAUUUCAAAAAAGUGGUUGCAUGGCGGUGUCAUCAAUAGUUAUUGCAACCAUAUGCAGACCCAUAAUCCUCGUGCUGAUCGUCACAUAUUAUCAUCUUGGGUGUCCCACUGGCUUAUUCUUCGUGCUGAUGGAAAGGUUAACAACUUUAAGAGGUAUUUUAUGGAUCAUUUCACAAACCAAACUAAAAAAUGGUGUCUAGAGUUACUGAAGAGUAUUUCAUCAAAGAUAAGGUACUUCAGUUUAGUAUGAUCAUUCAUACUAAUAACUAUCUGUGUGUACACCAACAUGAAUAAACUUUGUUGUACGCAUACUUUUCGUUUCAUGUGGAAGAAAAUCAUUGGAUAACAGUUCUUAUGCACAACAAGAAAAAAGAGUUUCAAGUUUUAAACUCUACUGGUAAAUGCAGCAAAAGAGUUCUUGCAAAGAUUGCUAAGCUGAGGGCAGAAAUAGCUAAUGAUACAAAUGAGGUGAAUGCUCUUAUUGGAACGGAACAUCCUGAUGUAUAUUCCUGGCCAAUAAGGGAGUACGAUAUGCCGUCACAAACAGACGGAGUCUCUUGUGGUCUUUUCGUAGUGAAAUGUGUUCAAAACUGGGACGGAGAUGAUUGAACAUUUGAGUUUGAUCAAGAUGAGGUUAAUGCUUCAAGUGGACGCAUUCUAGCUGAAAUACUUUUUUCAGAGGACAACACGAAGGAAGUAGUGAAAGAGAAGAUCCUCAAGAUCAUGGAGAAGAAAUGAGUCAGAGGAUGGGUGUUGGCUAUUAUCUCCACUAAAUAAACGUGCCAUUGUCGGUACUUGAUACAAUUGUCAUAAUAAGACAUCUCUAUAUUAUAAUGCGGCAUGGUUUAGCAUGUUCCGCAGCUAAAUAAAUGUGCCGUGGUCGGUAUUUGCUAGAAUAUCUAUUUUUCAAUGUCACUCUUAUUUGCAUCGUUGUCAGUGACACUCUUA